UUGCUAUGUGCGAUUUGAAAGAUUCGAACCUGCAGCAGGUUCGAGCCGAACGCAGUGAGGCACCGGAGCCUCUGGCGACGGCCCGGAGAGUGGACAAAGCCGAGUCAUCCCUCACGACCCGCCA
rnacentral:sRNA from 1 species